rnacentral:rRNA from 1 species
UACGUAGGGUGCAAGCGUUGUCCGGAAUUAUUGGGCGUAAAGAGCUCGUAGGCGGCUUGUCGCGUCGGCUGUGAAAACCUGGGGCUCAACCCCGGGCCUGCAGCCGAUACGGGCAAGCUAGAAUUCGGUAGGGGAGACUGGAAUUCUCGGUGUAGCGGUGAAAUGCGUAGAUAUCGAGAGGAACACCUGCGGCGAAGGCGGGUUGCUGGGCUGACACUGACGCUGAAGCGCGAAAGCUAGGGGAGCGAACGGG